UGGGUUUUGGACAGCUUCUUUACGCAUGCUGUUUUAUCAGCAAGGUCUUUGUGACUUGUAUCUUGUGCCGACCUCCUAUCUCAUCCUGUGUCUAGGAAUGCCUUAACCUCCUGGAAUGCAGCUCACAUGCCAGAAACUAUACAAUCCACCCCCUCUGAAGGAGUUUGUUCAUUUAAAAAAAAAAAGGGAAAUUUGGGUGCAGACAGGCACACAAGGAGAACACCAUGUCAACACGAAGGCAGAAGUUGGAGUGAUGAGUCUACAAGCCAAGGAUUGCCAGCAAUUCAUCAGACGCCAGGACAGCAGCCUGGGGCAGCCCCCUACAUGGUACCAACUCCAUCAACACCUUGAUCUCAGACUUCCAACCUCCAGAACUGUAUCACAGUCUGGAAGUCUGCUCACAGUCUCAAGGUUGGCAUAUCCCCUAGAGCCCCCAGACUCCUCAUCCCAUGGAGACCAACAUGGCCAGGGGAGGGCCAGAGCAGGGCCUUCUAAAUCACAGACCCCAGGGCAGGAGCCCCUCCGGUCUGGAUCUCAGGAUGGUAUUUUCAACAAUUCCUAAAUUUUUAUCCUAGGCUCUCCAAAUGGGAGUCUAAAGGUCUCAAAACAUGGUCCAGAAGAAGUAUGUAAAAAUGUAAAUUCCUAGGCCCCAACCCAGACCUAUGAAUCAG
rnacentral:lncRNA from 1 species